AGUGAACGCUGGCGGUAGGCCUAACACAUGCAAGUCGAACGGCAGCACAGUAAGAGCUUGCUCUUACGGGUGGCGAGUGGCGGACGGGUGAGGAAUACAUCGGAAUCUACUUUUUCGUGGGGGAUAACGUAGGGAAACUUACGCUAAUACCGCAUACGACCUACGGGUGAAAGCAGGGGAUCUUCGGACCUUGCGCGAUUGGAUGAGCCGAUGUCGGAUUAGCUAGUUGGCGGGGUAAAGGCCCACCAAGGCGACGAUCCGUAGCUGGUCUGAGAGGAUGAUCAGCCACACUGGAACUGAGACACGGCCCAGACUCCUACGGGAGGCAGCAGUGGGGAAUAUUGGACAAUGGGCGCAAGCCUGAUCCAGCCACACCGCGUGGGUGAAGAAGGCCUUCGGGUUGUAAAGCCCUUUUGUUGGGAAAGAAAAGCAGCAGGUUAAUACCCCGCUGUUCUGACGGUACCCAAAGAAUAAGCACCGGCUAACUUCGUG
rnacentral:rRNA from 1 species